CCCGAAGCCGGUGGAGUAACCUUUUAGGAGCUAGCCGUCGAAGGUGGGACAAAUGAUUGGGGUGAAGUCGUAACAAGGUAGCCGUAUCGGAAGGUGCGGCUGGAUCACCUCCUUU
rnacentral:rRNA from 1 species